UAUUUCCUUUUUGAAAGCGAGAGGUGUUUGGAGUCCACUGUGAAAAUCUGAUGAUUUGUGGUGUCGUCUGCUCGUGCGAUUGGCUGUGCUUCAUCAAAUCCAAAGUCACCGUUUCUUUCUGCUAAAACUUUACCAAAUGUUUUGAAGAGCACAAUUUUAACCCCACAGAGUCUCUGCAGUGUUGUCUGAGGUCUGAAAGAUGUGAUCCAAAAACACAGACGAGCUGAAGGGUCACUGUCUAAACAUCCGGGGCUUCAGAGACGCCGCAGCAGAGACACGAGCUCGUCGCCUGCCUGCUCAGCAGCACUGAGGCAGCAGUUUAAGCAGUGAAAGUCUCACUGAGACUAUAAAUGACAAACAGCCUCUGUGUGAGACGCUGUGACAUCAUCAACAACACUGGACAUAAACCUGUUUUUGUUCUGUCCUGUACUGUCGUCAAUAGAAAAGUUAGGAAAAUAUGACAUUUGAAGAUAAUUGCAGAAAACAACACUAAAAGAUGCCAUUAUUACUGCUGUUAAUGCAAUUAUUUUUAUGGGUCUAAACUCGCCUUGGCUGUUAAAGCUGCAGUGUGCUCAUGCAGACAGAGGGGGGCGACGUCCCCCUGCAGAUGGAGCAGGUGUGCUGGGGAAACAUGUUCAGGUACAAAAUCAGUACCAGUUAAAUGUUUAUCUGCCAUCCUGAUAUCAGUGGAACGAACUCAGGCCUGUAGCUCAAUCUUACUGCGACUCUCCAGCAUGAAUGUUGUGUUUCAUAUUGUGAGCAUCUGCAUAUGGAAAUGAUCCUGUAAGUAAAGCUGGUACGAGGCAUCUUCUGAUACGAUGGGUUUGCUGCUCCGGCCCACUGAAGAACGCGGCUCAUGGAGUAAAGCGAGUUUGACGCCUCUGCUCUAAAUAAAUCUGAGCGAGUUAUGAGAUGACGGGAAAAUUCAAAACAAACUAAUGGACUUAUUUUUAGAUUUUUAUGAGAUGUUUGCUGUUUAAUCUUAGAAUAUUUGAUCAAAGAUAUUGUGUAUGAUUUGAUGCUCGUGUGCAGGCCUGUGGCUCUGCAUGAAAGGUAGAAAAAUCUUCUCCAAAGGGAAACACGUCUUUCAGCUUUUUACUUCAGACACUAACAGUGCAAAAGUUUUAGUAUUAAAAUCUCCAUACUGUGGUCCACUGGAUCACGUUUAAUUCAUCAAUGUGUAAAUCACUUUAAUGUUGCAGCUGCGGAUGAUGACGUGUAUGCAUCAUAUACGAAACAUUUAAUGUAUCCAAAAUAUCCAAAUGAAAAAUACCUUAAUAAAGUACAAGUGCAGUAAGACUGUACUUGAGUAAAUGCACUGAGCCGCCGUCCGUCUGUGGUCCUGUUCAUGCUCUCGUCACUGGGCAGUGUAAGACUAACAGUUACUGCAGGAUCGAUGAGGACCAGAGGGGGCAGCACCUCCCCAGCUUCCCUCUGCAUCCUCAUGCAAGCCUCAUGUGGAAAACUCUGGAGAGGAACUUUCUGGACCUGCUGCUUCUUUUUCUGCUUCAUUUCUUGGUGCAAAUUUUUUUAUUUAUGGAAAGAAAAACUCAAAGCUAACUCGUGACUCUCGUGUGUGACAAAAGCUGCUUUUGCUUCUUGUGUUUGGGAACGUGAUGUGCAUGCAGCACCUGCUAACAUCAGGUAUAAGUGCAGAUGUUUAAAUGGUCCACAGCUGGAUUUUAUGAACCCGCCUUUAUAAAAACACGUCAGAAGCACCUGAAAAUUCAAAGGUCAGGCAGCAGCUUUCAUUAGGAUUAGUGUGCAAGCUAGCAGCAAAACUUUUAUAUUUUAAAAAUUCGGAGCUAAAAUGUGGUUUUAGUUUUGACCUUUGAGACGUGGCUUCAGCCGGACUCAUGACCUGCAUGCUGGACAGAGAUUCGAACACAGCGUGUAAUUAUUUGCUCUUUUCUCGUAGAUUUGUUCUGUUUUUGUAGUUGGGACAUGUCAUUGUGAAGAAAUGAUGAGGUCAUGAGAUGUGCACAUCAA